rnacentral:misc_RNA from 1 species
GAUUGUGGCCAUAACGGGAGUCGGUGGGUUAGCUAUUUUCGUGGGGAGCCUGAGCAAGUAGUGAGUUGUGUCGUGUGCAUUUAGCAUUUUGCUGUGCAAUCUGUGCCGAGUCGGCACGGAGCGUGCGGUUGGUGCAUGUGGGAAAAGGGUUGCGCACGGCAUGACAAGCUGUUUGGGGUGGCGAACUGUGGCUUGGCGAGCUUGCCGCAUCAGGGUGCCUCCGUGCCUAGCGGGGCGUGCUUGGGCGUUUUGGUUGUUAUUUGUUGCUUGUAAUGUUCGAAUGCAUUGUGAAGCAAUGAAUGGUGGCCUCUUCGUUCGGGCAUCGUGUACGUAUGGUGCGUGAGUGGUGGUUGGCUUGUAUGGGCACGUUGGAUCCCUGCUUGGGCAGCGACAGCGUGCCUUUCUGGCUUUUUCAGUGGGCGGCCCAAGUGCAUGUUAGCCUUGGCCAUACUCGGUUUCCUGUGUUGCAUACCAAUCGGGAGGGUAUUGAUUCGGUUAAAAAUGUCCCAUUUUCACCUUGUGCCGGGCCUCCUAGGGCUGCGGUGCGGGGUGGACCCUAAAGCAUCCGCCGUGUUCCACUACCCCUGCGUUUUCACACGUGUUCGGGUUGUUGGCCCAUGGCGUCAAUGCUUGGUCUCUCGGAUGCGGAAAAAUUAGUGGGCAUGAGGCCCCUAGCCCCUAUUUGCCCCGAAAGAAAGCAUUGUAUGCUUUGUAUGAACGACGACCUUUGCCACUAUGAUUGAGUCUUCGUGGCUUCGAUCAUGUGGUAAUGGCGCCGAUGAGGAAUGCU